rnacentral:rRNA from 1 species
GACGAACGCUGGCGGCGUGCUUAACACCUGCAAGUCGAGCGGAGCGGCGAACGGGUGAGUAACGCGUGAGUAACUGUCCCCCUCUCUGGGCUCACAGUUGGAAACGGCUGCUAAUACCGGAUAGUGGGGGAUGACUCGCGUCCGAUCAGCUUGUUGGUGGGGUAGUGGCCUACCAAGGCGACGACGGGUAGCCGGCCUGAGCGGGGGACCGGCCACGUGGGGCUGAGAUACGGCCCAAAGUCCUACGGGAGGAAGUAGGGGGGAAGAGUGCACAAUGGGGGAAACCCUGAUGCAGCAACGCCGCGGGCGGGAUGACGGCCUUCGGGUUGUAAACCGCUUUCAGCCAUGACGCGGUAGUGGCAGAAGAAGCACCGGCUAACUACGUGCCAGCAGCCGCGGUAAUAC